rnacentral:lncRNA from 1 species
AACAUCUGACCACAAUGUUAGCAGCAAGCAUGGCAAAAUAAUUCUUUUUCUAUUUGAUAACAAUUCGAUUUUCUUGCAAAAUUACAAAGGCCAUUUAUCCCUCGCGUCUGCAGUUUUGCACGCAUGGCGCAGGCCCUGCAUCUCCAUAAAACCGGGGAGUGGUGUUGGUGGUCGCCCCUGUUUCUCCUCACUUGCCGCUUCCUCCCUCCCCUCCUCCAUCCAAGCUCGCCCACUCGCGACCACACCAAUAAAAGAAGCAGCAGCAGAUCGGUGCGUGCGUGUCGCUGGGAAAUAGAAAGGGAGUAGAUUUGAGGUUGCUCCAUGGUUACCUCCCCAUUUCUCCUCCAAGGAAGAACCUCCGUCUGACCAUCAUCUGUCAGCAGGGCAGCGGUGGUACAUACAUUCUGCUGCAGAUUGAGAGGCAUUCUUGAUCGAUCUCGCUUUCGCUGAAGGCUUGCGGAUCUGUUGUUGUUUCUCUGGUAAUGAUUCCUGAUUGAUUCCUGCAGCUUCAAUUCAAUUGUCAGUUUGAUUGCUGCAGUCUUUCAGUUUUGGGCUUUUGCAGAAUUGUGCAAUUUUUUGAAAUGGCUAUCAUUGUGCAGUUGCAUGUGUGUGUUUUCGUCACUUGUUCAGAUUGCACAUUGUGCACCUAGAAAUUCAGAUCUGAUUUAGAGGUUUCCUCCUCCUCCUUUUUCUUCUUAACAUUACAAUUUCUAGCAUCUCAGUGCUAAUUAAAUGAGAUUCUUUCGUUUCAAAAAAAUUAAAUGAGAUUCUCUAUGUCAAAGAAGAUGUUGAAUUACAAAUCAAUAUACGGUUGAACAAAUAAUUUUUUUGUCCUGAAAGACUCGUCCUUUUUGCAUGAAUCUGCAGACAGUGUGAGCCUGCCCUGUGCUCUGCAUGAGCUAGUUGAAAAGGGAACCCAAAGAUGCCGUUGUUCGAACGGGAUCGGUACCAGAGGCUGGACGGCGGCGGCGCCGGCCCCGGCCGGAGGCCGCCGUCCUCGUUCUGCUCGUCGG